AUGUCCACCGGCGACAAUUGCUACUACCCGUCGGAAAGGUUCACCGUCGGCGGGUACGACUGGGCCGUCCGCUUCUACCCCAACCAACUGGGCUCCCACAUAUCCAUCCUCCUCGUGCUCCUCAGCGAACCCAAGGAUGGCACCAUGGUCGGCGUAAGGUUCGGAUGCGCCGUGCUGGACAGGUCCGGCAAGCCACCGGCGGAGCUCUGGCAUAGCUCCUCGACCGUCCUGUCUUUCUACGGCGAAGAGUGGGGAUUUUGGAGAUUUGCGCCGCACGAUGUUCUGGAGGACCCAGAUUACCUUGAGGGGGACUGCCUCACCCUGAGUUGCACUGUCUCUGUUCUCAGGAAACCGCAACUGUCGUCCGACUGA
rnacentral:rRNA from 1 species